UCCCCUUAUCUGGUCAAUAUAUAUAUAUUAUAUAUAGGUGAAAGAAGCUUUCUCCAGUUUAUCAGUACUCGCUCUACGGUUGUCACUCCCCUUACAAAAGUUUUAGUCGUGUUUUUUUUUUUCUUAUUUCAUGUACGUUUAGGAUAUAGCCCUGCGAAUAUUUGUUUCAUUAUUUGGUAAGUGGCGUUUUGCAUUUGCGGCUUUAUUUUUUCGCGCCGUUUUCAAAAAAAUUAAAAAAAUAGUUCGCGUUAAUGUGAAUUUUGCGGUUUAUUAUAAACAGGUUAAGAGAACAAUCAAAUUGAAUCAUUCGGGGGAAAAAACGAAUCAAAUAA